AUACGGAGGGGGUUAGCGUUGUUCGGAAUUACUGGGCGUAAAGCGCACGUAGGCGGAUUGGAAAGUUGGGGGUGAAAUCCCAGGGCUCAACCCUGGAACUGCCUCCAAAACUAACAGUCUAGAGUUCGAGAGAGGUGAGUGGAAUUCCAAGUGUAGAGGUGAAAUUCGUAGAUAUUUGGAGGAACACCAGUGGCGAAGGCGGCUCACUGGCUCGAUGCUGACGCUGAGGUGCGAAAGCGUGGGGAGCAAACAGGAUUAGAAACCCUAGUAGUCC
rnacentral:rRNA from 1 species